rnacentral:pre_miRNA from 1 species
CUGGGGGGGGGGGGGUCCCCCAGCCCGGAUUGGGAGAGGGCCCAGGCCAGGCCAAGGGACCCCACCAGUGCACA